AUGGCGGGCACUGCGGCAGCAGGUGGGCAGCCUCCCCGGGUUAGCAUGCAGGAGCACAUGGCCAUCGAUGUGAGCCCGGGCCCCAUCCGGCCCAUCCGCCUCAUCUCCCACUACUUCCCGCACUUUUACCCUUUUUUUACCCUUUUGCGGAGCCUGCCCUGCACCCUCCGGACCUGCGCCCCGCAGCGGCGUCCACCAUCCACUCUGCACCCUAGCUGCAGCCCGACCCAGAGCCAGAAGGAGACUCAGACGACAGCACUGCCCUGGGCACCCUGGAGUUCACACUUCUUUUUGAAGCGGACAACAGUCCUCAUCGUGCCAAGGUGAGGAUGGGGGUGGGUGUUCCUGGGACAGAGGGCUGGGCCACGGGCCUGUCUCAUACCCACUGUCUGUUCCCAGGGCCUCAAGCCAUUGGCCUCAGGCUCCGCAGAUGCCUAUGUCAAAGCCAAUCUGCUGCCAGGGGCCAGCAAGGCCAGCCAGCUUCGGACACGCACCGUUCAGGGCACGAGGGUACCUGUCUGGGAGGAGACACUCACCUAUCACGGCUUCACCCGCCAGGAUGCUGAGUGCAAGACCCUUAGGCUGUGUGUGUGCGAGGACCCAUGGCUGCAGCGACAGCGGCAGGCACCUUCCCUGGGGGAGCUGCGGGUGCCCCUGAGGAAGCUGGUGCCAAACCGAGCCAGGAGCUUUGACAUCUGUCUGGAGAAGCGGAGGCUGGCCAAGAGGCCCAAGAGCCUGGACACAGCCUGCGGCAUGUCCCUCUAUGAGGAGGAGGUGGAGACAGAGGUGGCCUGGGAGGAACAUGGGCGCGUCCUACUGUCACUGUGCUACAGCUCUCAGUGGGCUGGCUUGCUGGUAGGUGUGCUGCGCUGCGCCCACCUGGCCCCCAUGGAUGCCAAUGGUUACUCGGACCCCUUCGUGCGCCUUUUCCUGCAUCCAAAUGCAGGGAAGAAAUCUAAAUUCAAAACCAGUGUUCACAGGAAGACCCUGAACCCCGAGUUCAAUGAGGAAUUCUUUUACUCAGGCCCACGGGAGGAGCUGGCCCAGAAGACGCUGCUGGUGUCCGUGUGGGACUAUGACCUAGGCACGGCUGAUGACUUCAUUGGUGAGUGGGAACAUGAGGAGCUGGGGUGGGGGCCCAGUAGGCUCCUGGCGGUUCCUGACCCAUCCCCCAUGGCAGGCGGGGUGCAGCUGGGCAGCCAUGCCAGUGGGGAGCGCCUGCGGCACUGGCUUGAGUGCCUGGGCCACAGUGACCACCGCCUGGAGCUGUGGCACCCGCUGGACAGCAAGCCUGUCCAGCUCAGCGACUAG
rnacentral:sRNA from 1 species